rnacentral:rRNA from 1 species
UACGAAGGGUGCUAGCGUUGCUCGGAAUCACUGGGCGUAAAGGGUGCGUAGGCGGUGGUUUAAGUCAGGGGUGAAAUCCUGGAGCUCAACUCCAGAACUGCCUUUGAUACUGAGGUUCUUGAGUUCUGGAGAGGUGAGUGGAACUGCGAGUGUAGAGGUGAAAUUCGUAGAUAUUCGCAAGAACACCAGUGGCGAAGGCGGCUCGCUGGCCCGGUACUGACGCUGAGGUGCGAAAGCGUGGGGAGCAAACAGG